UGUUGCCUCGGCGGGGUCACGCCCCGGGUGCGUCGCAGCCGUGGAACCAGGCGCCCGCCGGAGGAACCAACCAAACUCUUUCUGUAGUCCCCUCGCGGACGUAUUUCUUACAGCUGUGAGCAAAAAUUCAAAAUGAAUCAAAACUUUCAACAACGGAUCUCUUGGUUCUGGCAUCGAUGAAGAACGCAGCGAAAUGCGAUAAGUAAUGUGAAUUGCAGAAUUCAGUGAAUCAUCGAAUCUUUGAACGCACAUUGCGCCCGCCAGUAUUCUGGCGGGCAUGCCUGUCCGAGCGUCAUUUCAACCCUCGAACCCCUCCGGGGGAUCGGCGUUGGGGAUCGGGACCCCUCACACGGGUGCCGGCCCCUAAAUACAGUGGCGGUCUCGCCGCAGCCUCUCCUGCGCAGUAGUUUGCACAACUCGCACCGGGAGCGCGGCGCGUCCACGUCCGUAAAACACCCAACUUUCUGAAAUGUUGACCUCGGAUCAGGUAGGAAACCCGCGAAC
rnacentral:rRNA from 1 species